AUCUAUUUGUAGGUAACAGUUGCCCAGGUUAAAUUUCCCACUCAUCUCACCUUCAGAAGCAAGCAAGUAGUGUUUGAUGCUAAACAAUUCUGAUAAAUAGCAUUGUGCACUUGAAUACCUUGCUUAGCCAGUAAAUUGAGGGCUUGUGUCGUCUCAUUAGUUAUAAUUUCAACAACAGCUGUUAGCCUAAUGUUGUGAUUUAACAUAUACAUGGGAGUCCAGUACCCGCAGGACCCCUCUUCUGCCCAGGUGGCUGGACCAAAAUAGUGAAUUAUCCACUCAGGGGGCCACUCGUCAUCUUUCCAGUUGCCAGUUGCCAGGGCUUGCCACUCUCUUUGGGCCCCUUGGUCUUCAUAUACUGGGGCGCCCAACUACUCCCAUCUUGCUAAUGGAAGGAGGGAAAAAAGAGGGGCAAAUUGUCCCCAGUU
rnacentral:lncRNA from 1 species